rnacentral:rRNA from 1 species
AUUGAACGCUGGCGGAAUGCUUUACACAUGCAAGUCGAGCGGCAGCGCGGGGGCAACCCUGGCGGCGAGCGGCGAACGGGUGAGUAAUACAUCGGAACGUGUCCUUGAGUGGGGGAUAGCUCGGCGAAAGCCGGAUUAAUACCGCAUAAGCUCUGAGGAGGAAAGCGGGGGACUGGUAACGGCCUCGCGCUGUUGGAGCGGCCGAUGUCGGAUUAGCUAGUUGGUGGGGAAAGGCCCACCAAGGCGACGAUCCGUAGCUGGUCUGAGAGGAUGAUCAGCCACACUGGAACUGAGACACGGUCCAGACUCCUACGGGAGGCAGCAGUGGGGAAUUUUGGACAAUGGGGGCAACCCUGAUCCAGCCAUUCCGCGUGAGUGAAGAAGG